rnacentral:rRNA from 1 species
UGGGGAAUUUUGGACAAUGGGGGCAACCCUGAUCCAGCCAUGCCGCGUGCGGGAAGAAGGCCUUCGGGUUGUAAACCGCUUUUAGUCGGGAAGAAAAGGCAGGGGCUAACACCUCUUGUUCUUGACGGUACCGGCGGAAUAAGCACCGGCUAACUACGUGCCAGCAGCCGCGGUAAUACGUAGGGUGCGAGCGUUAAUCGGAAUUACUGGGCGUAAAGCGUGCGCAGGCGGUUUGUUAAGUCUGAUGUGAAAGCCCCGGGCUCAACCUGGGAAUGGCAUUGGAAACUGGCAAGCUCGAGUGCGGCAGAGGGGGUGGAAUUCCGCGUGUAGCAGUGAAAUGCGUAGAGAUGCGGAGGAACACCGAUGGCGAAGGCAGCCCCCUGGGCCGACACUGACGCUCAG